rnacentral:rRNA from 1 species
CCUACACAUGCAAGUCGAACGGCAGCAUAAGAGAGCUUGCUCUCUUGAUGGCGAGUGGCGGACGGGUGAGUAAUGUAUAGGGAUCUGCCCAGUAGUGGGGGACAACAGCCGGAAACGGCUGCUAAUACCGCAUACGCUCUACGGAGGAAAGCGGGGGACCUUUCGGGGCCUCGCGCUAUUGGAUGAACCUAUAUCAGAUUAGCUAGUUGGUGGGGUAAUGGCCUACCAAGGCAACGAUCUGUAGCUGGUCUGAGAGGAUGAUCAGCCACACUGGGACUGAGACACGGCCCAGACUCCUACGGGAGGCAGCAGUGGGGAAUAUUGGACAAUGGGGGAAACCCUGAUCCAGCAAUGCCGCGUGUGUGAAGAAGGCCUUCGGGUUGUAAAGCACUUUCAAUAGGGAGGAAAAGCUAUGCGUUAAUAGCGUAUAGCCGUGACGUUACCUAUAGAAGAAGCACCGGCUAACUCCGUGCCAGCAGCCGCGGUAAUACGGAGGGUGCAAGCGUUAAUCGGAAUUACUGGGCGUAAAGCGCGCGUAGGCGGUUUGCUAAGUCAGAUGUGAAAUCCCCGGGCUCAACCUGGGAAUGGCAUUUGAGACUGGUAGGCUAGAAUGUGGUAGAGGUGAGUGGAAUUUCAGGUGUAGCGGUGAAAUGCGUAGAGAUCUGAAGGAGCAUCAGUGGCGAAGGCGACUCACUGGGCCAUUACUGACGCUGAGGUGCGAAAGCGUGGGUAGCAAACAGGAUGGGAUACCCUGGUAGUCCACGCCCUAAACGAUGUCAACUAGGUGUGUGAAAGUAUAUCUUUUGCGUAUCGAAGCUAACGCGAUAAGUUGACCGCCUGGGGAGUACGGCCGCAAGGCUAAAACUCAAAUGAAUUGACGGGGGCCCGCACAAGCGGUGGAGCAUGUGGUUUAAU